rnacentral:rRNA from 1 species
GAUGAACGCUGGCGGCGUGCCUAAUACAUGCAAGUCGAGCGAACAGAUAAGGAGCUUGCUCCUUUGACGUUAGCGGCGGACGGGUGAGUAACACGUGGGUAACCUACCUAUAAGACUGGAAUAACUCCGGGAAACCGGGGCUAAUGCAGGAUAACAUGUUGAACCGCAUGGUUCUACAGUGAAAGGCGGCUUUGCUGUCACUUAUAGAUGGACCCGCGCCGUAUUAGCUAGUUGGUGAGGUAACGGCUCACCAAGGCAACGAUACGUAGCCGACCUGAGAGCGGGAGGGGAGCAACGGGAGGGGAGAGUCCGCAUAGACGCGUAGGGGAAGGAGGCGGAGGUGAUGUUGAGAAAUGGGUGUAAGACUGACAGAUCUGCGUAGAGAGAGAAAAGAAGGGACGCGGGUAGGUGUGCGCGCUUAGACGGGAAGAACAAAGGAGGCACUAACUACGCCCGGCGCGACUGUAGCUGAUUAGAAAGACAGCACGGAUCUAGC